rnacentral:rRNA from 1 species
AUACGGAGGGUGCAAGCGCUAAUCGGAAUUACUGGGCGUAAAGCGUGCGUAGGUGGUUUGUUAAGUUAGAUGUGAAAGCCCCGGGCUCAACCUGGGAACUGCAUUUGAAACUGGCAUACUAGAGUAUAGGAGAGGAAAGUGGAAUUUCAGGUGUAGCGGUGAAAUGCGUAGAUAUCUGAAGGAACAUCAAUGGCGAAGGCAGCUUUCUGGACUAAUACUGACACUGAGGUACGAAAGCGUGGGUAGCAAACAGGAUUAGAAACCCUAGUAGUCC